CUUGUCUUAUAGAAUACCAACGUGCUCAAGCGAAUAUCUCUGGUUGCCUUCAUCCUAUCUCAAACACGAUAAUACUACCUACCUGCUUCCUGAGGGGAGGCAAAAACUGAAAGUCCGUUGCCCAAGCCUUUUGCAGAGAAGAGGUUUAUGUUUAGAGUAUGUUUUUCUAACUCACACUUCAUCUGCUAGCCUCAAUUUAAUACACCUCUGAUAAGCAUCAAGGCUGCCACGUGCCAUCAAGGCUUUGUUGCCAACUGCAAUUCUGC